GUGCUCGCUUUGGCAGCACAUAUACUAAAAUUGGAACGAUACAGAGAAGAUAAGCGUGGGCCCCUGCACAAGGAGGCCAUGCAGAUUGUGAAGCGUUCCAUAUUUUU
rnacentral:snRNA from 1 species